ACACUUCCUUCAACAUUAGGGCAUGGCGUGCUGUGUGUGUCAGUGAUUGCCUCUGUGGACUCAUGACUUUCCAUCGCCAUGGCUUUCUCUUACGCCGCUGUUUGGCUUUCAGAUGUAAUCCUGUCUUCUCCUCUCUUCCCCACGAAAGCGCACUCGAUUUUGUUAGGAAUGAACGGAAGUUUAAAAAUUCUUGUGCCCACCCCCGCCCUCCACCCAUUCCUGUUAAAAGUUCUCUGGCGAAGAGCCAAUGGGUGAACGUAAUUGAAAGAGCUAUUUACUCUUUUGGAAAUCUGAUUUGAAGUCUAAGUUUUCAGUAACAGAAGACACACAAGCAAUGUGGACUGCCAAGCUUGAAGCACUUCGGGCUCUGCCUUCACUCGCAUGCUACCAUGUCGAGCCCAAACUCCACUUUAAUUAAAAGAGCUGUGCUGUGAAUUCCACAACUUCUGUUAAAUAAUUUGUAUUCCAUUAUAUAUAUUUUGCACAUCUCAGGGGACCAUAAUGAACAUAUGAAAGGGGGGGGGGUGCCAUCAAAUAGAGAAAACAAAUAGAAGAGGUGAAUGGAGACUAGCUGGAUAAAAAUAACAAAUUACUUCUUCUCUGAUGUUGUGAAGGUCAGGUUCAGGAAGCAUCAAUUCACAGUUAAUCCGGAGUAACAAUGAUCUGAACACCAGCUGUUCCCAGGUCCCUCUUUUUCAUAGCCCAACCAGCAUCUAAAAUGUAAAUUUAAAUUACAUUGCAGUCACCAUGGGGAGAAGAAACCUGUUCAGUGGAAGCAGAAGCAUUGUUCCUUUUUUAGGUUGGCGCAGCUUUGCAAAACUCUACCCAGGAUAAACCACUUAUCACCACCAAGUGUACUUGAAAAUAAAGUUUUUAACUUAAAUUACAAGCAUAUUGCUCAUAAUACAAUAGUGAUCAUUUUUUGAAAGUCUUGCCAUUUAUAACAUGGGCAGUAUUUGGAGCUUCAUUUAAAAACCAACAACAACCGAUAAUGACUUUGCACGAUUCACUUUGGGAUCUCAAAGUGCUUCCAAAGCAUUCAGAUUUACAAACAAUUCACAAGACAGGUCAUCUUUGUAAUACGCAUACUUACAACGAAUUAACAAAAGGAGUGACUUAAGAUUCUCCAGGAACACAGUGGCAGCUAUUGAUGAUCUGUUUUCUAUCUGUUUGAUAGAGCAUCAUGAGAAAUCACAAAAUACAAUGCUAUUUUUCUGAUGUGUGCUAAUAAAGUCAAAGAAAACAAAUACAUCUUGACACUUUUGUCCAUUUUCAUUAAAAAAAAAAAAGUUCAGGGUGUUUGGAAUUUUACAUCUCAGCACACCUUACUGGUAUCAAUGGAUAAAGCGGGUGAUUGACAGAUCCACCCAAAUGCCACUGCAGUCAGAAGCAGAUCUGGACACACCCUUGUUUACAGUUUCAUAUUGGGUUGCUAUAGUUCCCGUGCUAAAUCACCAGCUUUCAGGAACAUGACUGCUCCUGGCAGUGGAAGGUGCUGAAACAGAAAUUUUAAUUAAAAACUUUAUCAAGUACUCUUCACAGUGCUGCUUGGCACCAUAGAAAAUCAGUACAAUAUAUCGAGCCCUACUUUGGAGGAGCUGGAUUUCUGAGGGAGCUGAUCCAGUUCUAAGUGUCUUCUCGAAUUAGGAGAUAGAUGAUCUUUGAUGGGGAUCUCCUCCGUCACCACAGGCCAGUCACAGAACCAACUAGCCACGUGCUGCCAGACCUCAGUGGGCCCAAGCAGGAGCAAUCUCUUCUAUCCCCCAUCUCCCCCAGGACCAUCCCGCCCAUUGUCAACGUCAUCCAGGGCUCUUCUGGUAGUGAGUGACUUUUCUGCACAUGUUUAGGGCUUGGGGGAGCUAGAACACAGGAAACAUGAAUGCAAAAGGCAUGGAAAACACUGUUUUGCUUUGGGUUAGUAAAAUGUGGGCAGGACAAAGAUUACUAUUGGUCUGAGCUUUGCCAAGUGAGAUAGAAUCAACUGUCACCCCAUUCCUUUCCCAGAAGGUCUUAUGGUAUUAAGGAUACAUCCAGUAUUUUCCCACAGAUUUUUAUUCAGGCGAUGUUUCAUAAAUUACAUAUAUGAAAACAUUCAUUAUUACAUUUCCUUGUGUGUUUCAAACAGACAUUGGCACCUUCCUAUUGAGUUAAUUCUCUGCAUCUUUUGCAGCAGCAGCCCACAAGGAGAUUCCCAGAGAUGGCUCCCCUAACACACAGUCCUGUGAUUUUACAGUUCUAUGACUUACAGUUGAUGAUUCACAAGAUUCAGGAUUCUACAAGACUCAAGGGGGAACUAAACUUUCUUACGAUUGUACAUGAUCAGUUAUAGGGCUGUAAUCAUUAAUUGUUGGCUUCAAAUGUGGACACACACACACACACAUCAUGCCAAGGAGGGAAUGGGGUGUUUCAAGUCAGGCAGCGAUGAUUCUGGAAGGUUGGAAAUGUAAGGUUAGAAGCUUGGCUGGUCUUAGUAAACUUGUUCCCUUGCUCCCACCAAGAAGAGGUACCAAAUGUGAGACCUGAGAUCUCCUCCAAUAUCUGUCCUCUGCAGUUCCGGGAAACUAAUCAUGAAGUACACAUGCAGCAGCUCCUCCACUUCCUUUCCUCCGAGGUCCUCCUUUCCAUUCUCCCACCUAGAUACUGACACACCGCCACGGUUUCCACAUUGGAAGGGCAGAACACUGUGCAGUAUCGUGCACACUUGCUGGGUUAGGAAUAGAGCUGCCCUAGGGUCACCUUCAUGCAAGUAUUGACAGCUACAAAUUAAAGUCCUUAGAGCAGUUGACACAGAUACUACGUUCUAGAAGAGAAUUAAAUUUAAACGUCAAGUUUAAAGGGAUCAUAAUUCUGCAGGUAUCUUUCUCUGAGUGACUGAAUGUGACUAUUGCAUUAGGGUAAAUGAAUUAAGACGUGCAAGUGGGAUUUACUGUAUGUUAGAAAGGAGUUUUGCAGCCAAGACUGCCUUGAAUAAAAUGUGUUUGCACUGAAAAAAAAUUUUAAAUUACUUGGUCUCUGGUUGCUGUAAAGGUCAUCCAAGAUGGAUGUUCUGUUUAUAUUGUAUAGUAUUUCAUAUGAAAUAAUUACAGUUCAUGAAAUGUCUUCCCUAAUGUUACUGAUUUAUAACAGCACAUUUGUAACAUGGUUUUUAUCGUGUCAGUGUACCAUACUGUAAAUGAUGAUUACUUGUCAUGCUUAGUAUAAUAACUUAAAAGAAAAAAAAGGACAGGGAUUUUUGUAAGUCUAUAUUUGAAAGUCCCUCCCUAUGGUGAUACUGUGUUCAUGUUGUUUAUGUAGUGUUGUGUGAAAUAUCCAUUUUGGAUUGUGUUACUUUUUAAGAUAUUAAAUAACAUUUGGUUA
rnacentral:lncRNA from 1 species